GGGCGCCCGGCGGCCGCUGAGGGGGCUGAGCGCGGCGUUAAAUAGAACAUAAAACGCAGUAACUCGGCGCGUAGAAUCCCACCGGGGUUUCCAGUGACACAAAGGUAUACACUGGGACUGCUAGGCACACCACCAGUUCCUGAUGUGGCUGACUGAGGCCGACCUGCGGCCAGUGGAGGAGCCCACGCCAGAGCAGGCGGCUGCACCCAAAGAAGGCCGGGUCACUGUGGGAAGCUCCCGCUGUUGUAGUUCAGUGCUGGGAGGACGCAGGAAGGAACCACACCAGAGCAGCCUGGGAAACGCUGCAACCCGUGGGAAGGACUCAUGUCAGAGAAAGUUCGUGGUGAACUGUCUCCUGUGAGAGGGACAUCAUGCUGGAGCAGGGGAGAAUGUGAGGAGUCCCCCCCAGCCGCGAGGAGAAGUGGCAGGACCGACCGCACCCCCCAUCCCCUGCCCCCUGCGCCACUGCAGGGGAGAAGGUAGAGAGAUCCAGAGCAAAGCUGAGCCUGGGAAGAAG